rnacentral:rRNA from 1 species
AUUGAACGCUGGCGGCAGGCCUAACACAUGCAAGUCGAGCGAGCAGCGGACGGGUGCGGAAUGUAGGGGGACUGCCCGAUAGAGGGGGAUAACUACUGGAAACGGUAGCUAAUACCGCAUACUAUCGGAGAACCCAGAUGGGAUUAGCUAGUAGGUGUGGUAAUGGAGCACCUAGGCGACGAUCCCUAGCUGGUCUGAGAGGAUGAUCAGCCACACUGGGACUGAGACGCGGCCCAGACUCCUACGGAGGCAGCAGUGGGGAAUAUUGCACAAGGGGCGCAAGCCUGAUGCAGCCAUGCCGCGUGUAUGAAGAAGGCCUUAGGGUUGUAAAGUACUUUCAGUCGGAAGGCGUUACCAAAAGAAGAAGCACCGGCUAACUCCGUGCCAGCAGCCGCGGUAAUUC